rnacentral:rRNA from 1 species
CAGCCCUAAACGAUGCGCGUUAGGUGUAUCGGUGACCACGAGUCACCGAGGUGCCGAAGGGAAACCGUGAAACGUGCCGCCUGGGAAGUACGGUCGCAAGGCUGAAACUUAAAGGAAUUGGCGGGGGAGCACCACAACGCGUGGAGCCUGCGGUUUAAUUGGAUUCAACGCCGGAAAUCUUACCGGGACCGACAGCAACAUGAAGGCCAAGCUGAAGACCUUGCCGGAUUAGCUGAGAGGAGGUGCAUGGCGUAGUCGUGU